GACGAACGCUGGUGGCGUGCUUAACACAUGCAAGUCGAACGGAAAGGCCCUGCUUUUGUGGGGUGCUCGAGUGGCGAACGGGUGAGUAACACGUUAGUAACCUGCCCUUGACUUUGGGAUAACUUCAGGAAACUGGGGCUAAUACCGGAUAGGAGCUCCUGCUGCAUGGUGGGGGUUGGAAAGUUUCGGCGGUUGGGGAUGGACUCGCGGCUUAUCAGCUUGUUUGUGGGGUAGUUGCUUACCAAGGCUUUGACGGGUAGCCGGCCUGAGAGGGUGACCGGCCACAUUGGGAAUGAGAGACGGCCCAGACUACUACGGGAGGCAGCAGUGGGGAAUAUUGCACAAUGGGCGGAAGCCUGAUGCAGCAACGCCGCGUGCGGGAUGACGGCCUUCGGGUUGUAAACCGCUUUCGCCUGUGACGAAGCGUGAGUGACGGUAAUGGGUAAAGAAGCACCGGCUAACUACGUG
rnacentral:rRNA from 1 species